rnacentral:rRNA from 1 species
AUUGAACGCUGGCGGCAGGCCUAACACAUGCAAGUCGAACGAGUGGCGGACGGGUGAGUAAUGUCUGGGAAACUGCCCGAUGGAGGGGGAUAACUACUGGAAACGGUAGCUAAUACCGCAUACCAUCGGAUGUGCCCAGAUGGGAUUAGCUAGUAGGUGGGGUAACGGCUCACCUAGGCGACGAUCCCUAGCUGGGCUGAGAGGAUGACCGGCCACAUUGGAACUGAGACACGGUCCAGACUCCUACGGGAGGCAGCAGUGGGGAAUAUGCCACAAUGGACGAAAGCCUGAUGCAGCCAUGCCGCGUGUAUGAAGAAGGUCUUCGGGUUGUAAAGUACUUUCAGCGGGGAGGCGUUACUCGAAGAAGAAGCACCGGCUAACUCCGUGCCAGCCGCCGCGGUAAUAC